AACAGGGUAGUUUAAUAAAAAUAUAAGGUUGUCAGCUUUAAGAUGUCUUAAGACCCCUGUUU
rnacentral:tRNA from 1 species